rnacentral:rRNA from 1 species
UAAGAAGGGAGCUAGCGCUGUUCGGAACCACUGGGCGUAAAGCGCACGUAGGCGGACGUGUCAGUCAGGGGUGAAAUCCCGGGGCUCAACCUCGGAACUGCCUUUGAUACAGCACGUCUUGAGUCCGGAAGAGGUGGGUGGAAUUCCUAGUGUAGAGGUGAAAUUCGUAGAUAUUAGGAAGAACACCGGUGGCGAAGGCGGCCCACUGGUCCGGUACUGACGCUGAGGUGGGAAAGCGUGGGGAGCAAACAGG